UUAAUUUCUUGAUUUGAAACUUUCAAGUAAAAUUUAUUUUGAGAGUGUUUUUACUGAUGAGAGAGCGAAUGAUAAACCUUAAAUCUUUCUCAAUUUAUAAACAAUUGGGAGAUUCCAAAAAAAAUCAAAUUUAUCAUUCGCGCUCUCAUCAUUAUGAACGCCUUCAAAUCCUGAUUUCAAAUAAAUGGGGAAAAUCAUCUCUUUUCAAUAUAUGCGGAACUCGGAUCCUUCUCAGAAAUCAAAGCCCAAGAUUUCAAGUGCAUAAAUAUCUUAAACGUAUUAAGUCCAUUUGAAUUAUUGUUCUCAACUUAAGAGAAAGCGGUUAAGGUAAUUUUUUUUUCCCAAUUUUCUGAACACAUAAUCACAAUUAUUAUUAUUGUUAUUGUUUGCAAGAUUGUUUAACUUUGUUCCUUCCUUUUUUCUUUUUUUUUGGUAUUUUUCUCAACAGAUAAUCGACAUUAUUAUUCUUCUUAUUCUUCUUGUUUAGGAAUUGCAUAUUCUUGUUAAUAUUAUUUCGAAGUUGACUCUUAAUUGAGGCAGCCGCAAAACUAGUGUUAUUUCUCGUAGAAGAAAGUACAUUAUUUAUAGACUUUUACUACUCCCUUUUUCUUAACUUCGAUGCUUCAUUGAUAGAGUUGAGUUGGAUUAGACUAAAACAUUAACGGGGUGAAUAAAAUCUUAGUUUAUAUUGCACAGGGGUUCAAAUAUAAUUAAAUUUCGAGUAUGAUUUAAUCUGUCGAAUCCACAUCGAGGAGAAAUUGCUAAUUGGAUUUUACACCGUAAACACCGAGGUGGCUUUUGUUUCUUGACGCAGAAUGCUUUUUACUUGUUCUAUUUAGAUUUGCAGUUGCAGUUAUAUAUUAUUUGUAUGGUUAAUCGGGUUUGGUUAUCCUCGUGACGAUCGGAAUCUGGCCUAUUGGCUUCUUUUGGCUCCCCACUGAGGCUUUUUAAUGUGUCUCAUUUCAGCUUGAUUUCUUUUUUUUUUUUUAUAUUAAAUCAUCUGGUAUCCGAGGAUCAUAUUGAACUUCAACUAAUCCAGAUAUAUUAAAUCAUCUGGUAUCCGAGGAUCAUUAAAUCAUCUGGUAUCCGAGGAUCAUAUUGAACUUCAACUAAUCCAGAUUCGAGCUGCGUAGGACCAUUAAGGCGGCAAAACUCUCCAAACAAGUAUUUAACGCAGUUGCAUUCUCAAGUCUCAAAUCAAAUAUCUUAAUUAAGUUAGAACAUCAUCAUACCAGCUGAUCUAUGUGCUUGUUAGUGCUGUUGAAAAGUCAAGCAUGCAAUUGUUGAGUAGUUGCAUGAGACAACUAGUAUGCAAAAUUCAAGCAUGCAAUUGUUGAGGUAGACUUGAACUACAAUUGCUUGACAAAUUUGGCAAUCAGUGCCAACUUUGUCAUGUAAUUGUAGUCAAAGUCUACAUGCUAUUUCAACAAUUGCAUGCUUGAAUUGUUGAAAAGUCAAGCAUGCAAUUGUUGAGCUAGCAUGUAGACUUUGACUAUAAUUGCAUGACAAAGUUGGUACCGAUUUCCAAAUUUGUCAAUUUGGCAAAUUGAAACUUGUGUUGGUGAACAAUGCUCCCUAUAAUUAGAAUGAUCAUUUUUCAUUUGUUAAUCAUCCCAAUUGAGAGAGUUGAGAGCAAUUACAAGUGAAGCAAUUUGAGAAAUUUAAGAUAGCUUCUACUUAAGUGCUAUAGUGAGGAUCCAUUUGGGUGUAUUGGAGUUGUGGAUUUUGAGAGUUUUUUUUCAUUUUUGUAAAUUUCAUUUGUUAGUAAAAUUAUCUUUUAGUUUUUGACCCAUACACAUAGGCAUUACGCCGAAUCACGUAAAUUAUUGUAUUUUAUUUUUUUUACAUUUAUUUAUCACCACUAUUAUAUUUAUUCAGAAGUCACAGUUACAACAAUAUUACCCGCACUUCCGCAACAGGUGCAGCUCGAUUUCUUUAGUUUGUAUUAUUUUGUUCUCAUAUUCUGUGCAUGCAUUAUUGCAUUGCAUUUCAAUAGUCGUUUUAGUUUUAUUUGAAUUUCGACUCAAUACAUUUUUUUAGUAAUAAAUUUCCGUCAUGACACCCAAUGCAGUUUGAAUAAUAAUGUUUGGACAAAAAUGAAUAAAAAGAGUUGGGAGUUUUUAUAAUCCAAAUUAAAUUGCAAUCACAGCUUGAGUGAGAGAAUUAAGCCUCGUUCGGCUUAGCUGCCAAGCAGCUGGGCUUUGGCGGCUAAACCAAAUGGGUAAGCCGGGGUUUGGCUCAGUUGGUUUUUUUUUUCAAUUUAAUUUAAUAUUAUUUGACUAAAAUUACUAUAAAUACUUAAUUAUUCGAUAUAUUUUAAUAAUUAUGUCUACAAGUAUCAUCAACUUUUAGUCUGUAACCAAUGAUUUACCAAAUACAAUAAUCAUUACAAUUUUUUAUAACCUCGCCUCAAUACUAAGUAAGCCAUUGGGCUAUUAAACAAAGAUAAGAUGAAUGUAGAGUUUUCAUUUCUCUCUGGGUAUAGCCAAUAAAUUAUAGAGUGACGUUAAUUGCAAUCAAUCAUUAGUUGUAACAUAGCAUGACCCUAAUAUUUUAUCUCUGGAACUGAAUUGUAGCCAUUAAUUAGUUAACUUUGGUGUCCAAUUAACUGUCAGCUACUAAGAUCUAUAAGAGAUAUCAUCAUAUCACAAAGCAGAGGGAGAAACUCGCGCAUCAACUACUUAAUUUUACUUAUGAUUAAACCAAAUGGCAGAGUUUCUGCUCUAGGUCGAGGAAUAUGCAAAUUAACUGCCUAUGCAGGCAUGCUAUUUGGCUAGGUACCUUAACUGGAUUAUUUGUAUUUGUUUUGUAUUUAGAUUAGUUUUUUUUUAUUUUUUAUUUUUUAUAUAUUUGAGUCUUUACUCUUUAUUCAUCAAAUGAACUUCUGUUGUGUGUAUACACACACACAUGCAUUAUUAUAUAUGAGUAAUGAUCUGAUCCAGGAUCUUUAACUUUAUUAAAAUCUGAAAAAUUACAAAGUUCAAGAUCCUGAAUUAGAACAUUUCUAUAUAUAUGCAUGUGUGUGUGUUUAUAUAUCAUUUAUGAAUUAGUUUCUUGAUUAGAAAAUUUUGGGUAACAAUGAGUGGUUGGAAUUGUCUGUUACAAAAGACAUUGUCCUUUUUCUUUGUUAUGAGAAAAUUAUUACCGAUGGAUAGUAAAUGACAAACCGAUCAUCUUUCACAAUUCAUAGACAGACGAGGAAUUCCAGGAAAAUCAUAAGAAGAGAAUGGAUUUGGAGGACUGGUUUAGUCAACUCAAAGAUGAUAUUGUGUCAAUAUUAUUUUGAACUUAAUUCUUAAUUAAGGAAGCCCGCCGCAAGACUAGUGUUCUUGAUGCUUCAUUGGUAAAGUUGAGUGGAAUUAGAUUGGGUGAAUAAAGUCUCAGUAUAUACUCUUAUUCCAAUUAUAUGCAAUAUUAUACUCGGACUUUUACAGCUCCACAGGUGAUAUAUAGAGAUGUCAAUGGAUUUCCCACGUAUAGACUAUAGUUUGGCUGUGUCUAAUUUGCAUGGUGGUUUUCGCUCCUUCAUGCGUAAUGAUUUUUCCUUCUAUCUAAUUUUGUGUUCAUAUAUAUUAAUUCUUGAAUUUUUUUUCCCAAACCAAAUUGUCUAUUUCCCCUCGUCAAUUUGGUCGAGGUUUACAUGGGAAAAAGAGAGAGGAGAGAGAGAUUAAUUCUGGGUUGUUUAAACACAAUCAUUCUUCAAAUCUAAUAAUUGAAUACCUAGACAUUAAUUCAAUACUGCAAAAUUCUUGAAGAAAUUUACUCUUUAAGUCUGUUGGGUUUUUCUUCUGUCGUGCGAUUCUCGUCGCAGUGUGAAUAUAUUCCCCAAACAAUGCCACUUAAAACUUGUAGUUAUUAGACAUGAUCAUGGGAGCCUAUUUGGCUGGACUUGCAUACAGAAUGGAUGUCCCUUUCUGCAAAGCCUCGUUCAGAAGUUUUCUAGGUUUCUUAAACACAAAGCAUUUGAAAGAAAUUAGCGAAUAAGUAACCUUACUCCCUUUAUAUUUUGCACUGUUGAGUGCUUGAAUCUUUGAUAUUGGUGAGUCCGUCACCGUAGUUGUGAUCGUGAUAUUAUUGGGUAAUUUAAAUUUUAAGGUUAUUAUCAUUUCACUACUUUAAAAAUUACCAAAUAUCAAAUGACUACAAUAAGUAUUGUCUCCUAUCAUUUUCCUACUUUAUUUUUAUAAAAAUAUAAUUUUACUAAUUUUUCGUUAUAACCGCUAGUUGACUAACAAAAUAUCAAUUUCAUCCUUCAUGAUUAAAAAAAAAAUACUUGAAACUUAUUUACAAAAUAAAUUUAUAAUAUAUUUAUUAAAAUGGAUAUAUAAUACCAACAUAAUUCUUUUUACUGGAAUUAUGAUAUAUGGAUUAAAAAUUUGUCUUAUUAUUUUUUUAAUCAUGAAGGGUAAAUUUGGUAUUUUGUUAGUCAACUAACUGGUCAAUUAACGGGUCAACUAACGGUUGUAACGGAAAAGUAUUUAAAUAAUAUUUGUUGUAAUGGAAAAGUAGUAAAAUGAUAUUUUUAUAAAAAUAUAAUAGGAAAAUGAUAGGAGACAAUACUUGUUAUAGUUAUUUGAUAUUUGAUAAUUUUUUAAGUAGUAAAAUGAUAAUAACCCUAAAUUUUAAUUAUGCAUUGGCAUAAAUGCAGGCGUUGAACUUGUAGUAGUUGGUUAAUUGUAUUUCUAUGUCUCAAAGAUUUAACCUUCGUUAAUUUGAAAGUGAAGUUAAUGCUUAGGUUAAUAUUUUCUCUUGGAGACACUUAUCGAGAUUAGGAUCAUAUCCUUAUAGCUUAAGGCAGCUACUCAAGUACCAACAAUGAGCAAACUGCAUCAUUUUAGUCAAGUUAAGGCUUUUUUUACCCCAUUACAACUGUGAAAAUGCUACAUCGUUACUUUACAUCAUUUAUGGAAAUUAUUCACCAUUGCCACCUAUGUGACAUUUUAAAUCUAAACCAAUUUAGGUGUAUUUUGUAUUGGAUUAGAUUGUAUUUUGUUAUAUUUUAUUAAUACAAUGUUUGGUGUAUUGUGGACUCUCUUAUAAAAAAUAGUUUUUUUUUUUAAAAAAAAAUCAUAACAUUUAUACUAAAUUAAUAAUAGAAGACUCAUUUAUAUUUUCUUAUUAGUUAUAUUAAAUUAAUAACUUAGAUUAAUUUUUCCCAUUGUGCACUGCCGCCGGCUGUCACUCACCGUUAUAUUCUUUGAAUUAUAUUUUAGUACCACUAGAAUUAUUAUUGUCAGGGUUACCCAAUAGUGCAACUAUUAUUAACAAAUGAAUUUCUAUUCACUGUAGAUUUACAGUCAAAUUUUUAACUGUAAAUAUAUAAUAAAUGGAAGCUUAUUUGCAAGAAAUAGUUUCACUGCAUAAAGUAUGUUGUUAUGCGGAGACCAUGAGUGGUCGGCACCAACCGUAUAUUUAGAUUUUUAUUUAAUUUAAUUUAUUAUUAUUUUAAUUAAAGAAAUUUAAAAUAGAAUUUGAAGAGUAUUUUUGGUUUGUUUAAUAUGGUAGUGUUCAUAUCAUGGUAUAUUGUAAUACAGCACAAUGGAGCCGCGAAGAUUUGUCAAACCUGCACGUGUAGGAAGGGUUAAAUGUCAGCCCUGCGUGUGGGCGUGGCUCGUGCUGAAGGAGUGUGGGACAAUGUGAAACAUAUUAAACGAGAAGGACGUGGGGCCUGAGUUGGAACAAUUUUUGUCUUUUUUUCAAAUGUUUGUCAGCCUCGUGAUUGUGGUUGGUUUAAGUUGUUCAGUUAAACACUAAAUCACUAAUGCCGCGGUGGAUGUCAAAAGUGGGGAAUUUUGGCUAUAUUGCCGCUGUAGUACGUAAUCAUGAUGGAUUUGGUAAUUGCAUCAGGAGCUGACAUUAACGUUUAUUUUGAUGAUAUUUUUUUUUGAUUACAUGAGACUAU
rnacentral:lncRNA from 1 species